AGUGAACGCUGGCGGUAGGCCUAACACAUGCAAGUCGAACGGCAGCACAGUAAGAGCUUGCUCUUACGGGUGGCGAGUCGCGGACGGGUGAGGAAUACAUCGGAAUCUACUUUUUCGUGGGGGUUCACGUAGGGAAACUUACGCUAAUACCGCAUACGACCUACGAGUGAAAGCAGGGGAUCUUCGGACCUUGCGCGAUUGAAUGAGCCGAUGUCGGAUUAGCUAGUUGGCGGGGUAAAGGCCCACGAAGGCGACGAUCCGUAGCUGGUCUGAGAGGAGGAUCAGCGACACUGGAAGGGGAACAUGGUCCAGGGUACUGCGAGAGGGCGCAGAGGGGAAUGUUGGACAAUGGGGGCAAACAUUAUCCAGUCAGAGCGAGUGGGUGAAGAAAGCCUUCGGGGUGGAAAGACCGUUUGUGGGGAAAGAAAAGCAGCAGGUUAAUACCCCGCUGGUCUGACGGUAACCAAAGAAUAAGCACCGGCUAACUUCGUG
rnacentral:rRNA from 1 species